CCUCGUCACUACUAAAAUUCUUCUCAUUUUUCUUCGCCGACAGGUGAUUGGAAAAUAUGUCGUUUUGCUUUUCCUCUCUUUCUUUCCAUAUGACUGAAAGGUGUCGAAUUCUCCAUACGUGACGAGUCUGGCGACAUAGCUAAAUUUCCACCCCUGCCUUCUUUGUAAACUUUAAUAUACAUAUAUAUAUCGUAAACCACAUGAUACAUUUGGUGCAUUGGGUGGAGCUAGAGACCUCGUAACCAAUCUCUCCAAAAAUCAAGUUUUAUUUUCUUUCACUGCGAAUCUCUCAUAAGUAGCAGCUGUAAUAAAGAGCAAGCAGAUCAUGUAAAGGCAUGAGGAUGGUGUGUUUGAUGCGCAGUAGGAUAAAGAAUAGAAAUUCUUAAUUUUUCCCCAAAUAAGUGAAAAGAAGAAGAAGAAGAAGAAGAAGAAGAUGAAGGAAUCAAACCGAGGAAGAGAAGACGAUGAUAUUCCUAGAUUUUGAGGUUUUAUUUUGUUUUUGAUGUGAAAUUAUGAUUUUAUCCUUGGAUUUAAUAGUGAUUUAACAGAAAAUGAAUCUGCCCUGAGGACUUAAGUGAUGGUGGAUGAUAUUUACACCUAUUUAUUAAAAAUAAAUAAAUUAAGUUAUUCUUUUUUUGAA